UUCAGAACUCAAUGCACUAUAAAGUCUUUAAUUUGCAUUGUUGGAUAACACGGCGCCAUGCAUGAUUGCGUAAAAUUAUAGCAUAAAAAGUGAAAUAAUAUAUGAGAUGAGAUCACUGAUCAAAAUUGUAAAUUAGGAGACGGGCGAGGCUAUAAUAAUCCACCCCCUACCUGUUUGAGCCUGAAAUUGUGAAUCAAAAUCUGUAAAACCGAUAAAUAUACAAAACUAGCUAGGGGAUUACAGAGCAGUUGUCUUGGCCAAAAUGUGUAGAUCUUUUGAGUGUUUGACGUACGAAUUUGUAAAGAUCAUUUGUAGUUUCUGACCAAUAAAAAGAAAGGAAAAUGAUCAGCUGCUGUCUUCGAUGGCAAUGCAUAUGAGUCAGUACUGC
rnacentral:lncRNA from 1 species